CCCAAUCGCUGAAAGAGCCGAUCUUCCGAACCCCCAUGGGGGCGGGGCUAUUGGGCUCCGCUACUGGGAGGCCGCUCUGUCGCCUAUGCUGUUUUUCCACGCGGAAUUGUACUGGAUACGGCUUGUACCCGGGACAGGUAAAGUUUGCUUGUUGUGUGUGCUGCCCUUUGUCGCUGUGGACUCCAUCCUGGACCGUGCCUCUCACCUUCAUGCCAGAAGUUCCUUCUCUUGGACCUUGUCUCAUCUGGCCUUAGGGGAGAAGCACCACCAGUAAGUCCCAGUCACAACGAGGAUGGGAGAGAAACAUUCUUAGAGACAAGUCUGGACUGCCUUGGACAUGGCCUGAGGGACUCAGAAACCCUAAUCUGGACUGGGAGGACCAGAGAGGUCCCAGGCAACAUGGGGACUACACACGCAGACCUCCCCUCUCUGCUGCCUCGGGCCUCAGUUCUACCUGGCCCUCUGGAAGCCAGUCUCCUGCAUCAAGCUCCCUGCCUCUUAUCUAACAUCACCCCAGGCCCCACUGACACUACUCUUCUAUCUGUCCAGCUAGUCCCUGCUGUCCCCCAAAUGCAGAUCUCUCCCAUGUUGUGGCCUCAGCGCUGUAGCUGCUGGUAGUUAAGUGUUGUCUGCCUGUGCUCCCACUUCCGUGUAUGUGGUAGGUAGCAGCCCCCCUGGUUGUGGGGCCAGUGUGAAUAGAAGUCAUGGCUCACCAGAGAUACUACUGUCAGCCCCUCCAGUGGCUCUUGUCCCUGGCAAGGUGCCUCAAACAUUCUCGACGUCUCUUCCUCCACCAGUGUGGGGCCCUGUGUAGUCACAUUGAAGAGAAGCUCCCCCACCCUCUGCUGGCCUGAAGUGGAUACGCAACAUAAGAAAUAAAGCUUUGUUGUUUUAGA